rnacentral:rRNA from 1 species
AGAGUUUGAUCCUGGCUCAGGACGAACGCUGGCGGCGUGCCUAAUACAUGCAAGUAGAACGCUGAAGAGAGGAGCUUGCUCUUCUUGGAUGAGUUGCGAACGGGUGAGUAACGCGUAGGUAACCUGCCUUGUAGCGGGGGAUAACUAUUGGAAACGAUAGCUAAUACCGCAUAACAAUGGAUGACCCAUGUCAUUUAUUUGAAAGGGGCAAAUGCUCCACUACAAGAUGGACCUGCGUUGUAUUAGCUAGUAGGUGAGGUAACGGCUCACCUAGGCGACGAUACAUAGCCGACCUGAGAGGGUGAUCGGCCACACUGGGACUGAGACACGGCCCAGACUCCUACGGGAGGCAGCAGUAGGGAAUCUUCGGCAAUGGGGGCAACCCUGACCGAGCAACGCCGCGUGAGUGAAGAAGGUGUUCGGAUCGUAAAGCUCUGUUGUAAGUCAAGAACGAGUGUGAGAGUGGAAAGUUCACACUGUGACGGUAGCUUACCAGAAAGGGACGGCUAACUACGUGCCAGCAGCCGCGGUAAUACGUAGGUCCCGAGCGUUGUCCGGAUUUAUUGGGCGUAAAGCGAGCGCAGGCGGUUUGAUAAGUCUGAAGUUAAAGGCUGUGGCUCAACCAUAGUUCGCUUUGGAAACUGUCAAACUUGAGUGCAGAAGGGGAGAGUGGAAUUCCAUGUGUAGCGGUGAAAUGCGUAGAUAUAUGGAGGAACACCGGUGGCGAAAGCGGCUCUCUGGUCUGUAACUGACGCUGAGGCUCGAAAGCGUGGGGAGCGAACAGGAUUAGAUACCCUGGUAGUCCACGCCGUAAACGAUGAGUGCUAGGUGUUGGAUCCUUUCCGGGAUUCAGUGCCGCAGCUAACGCAUUAAGCACUCCGCCUGGGGAGUACGACCGCAAGGUUGAAACUCAAAGGAAUUGACGGGGGCCCGCACAAGCGGUGGAGCAUGUGGUUUAAUUCGAAGCAACGCGAAGAACCUUACCAGGUCUUGACAUCCCGAUGCUAUUUCUAGAGAUAGAAAGUUACUUCGGUACAUCGGUGACAGGUGGUGCAUGGUUGUCGUCAGCUCGUGUCGUGAGAUGUUGGGUUAAGUCCCGCAACGAGCGCAACCCCUAUUGUUAGUUGCCAUCAUUCAGUUGGGCACUCUAGCGAGACUGCCGGUAAUAAACCGGAGGAAGGUGGGGAUGACGUCAAAUCAUCAUGCCCCUUAUGACCUGGGCUACACACGUGCUACAAUGGUUGGUACAACGAGUUGCGAGUCGGUGACGGCAAGCUAAUCUCUUAAAGCCAAUCUCAGUUCGGAUUGUAGGCUGCAACUCGCCUACAUGAAGUCGGAAUCGCUAGUAAUCGCGGAUCAGCACGCCGCGGUGAAUACGUUCCCGGGCCUUGUACACACCGCCCGUCACACCACGAGAGUUUGUAACACCCGAAGUCGGUGAGGUAACCUUUUGGAGCCAGCCGCCUAAGGUGGGAUAGAUGAUUGGGGUGAAGUCGUAACAAGGUA